rnacentral:rRNA from 1 species
CUAAGGCUCCAGAGGAAGCCACGGCUAACUCUGUGCCAGCAGCCGCGGUAAUACAGAGGCGGCAGGCGUUGUUCGGAAUUAUUGGGCGUAAAGAGCACGUAGGCGGCCUUGCAAGUCAGUUGUGAAGGCCUUCCGCCUAGCGGAAGAAUGCCAGCUGAUACUACAGGGCUUGAGUACGGGAGGGGAGAGUGGAACUUCUGGUGGAGCGGUGAAAUGCGUAGAUAUCAGAAGGAACGCCGGCGGCGAAAGCGACUCUCUGGCCCGAAACUGACGCCGAGUGUGCGAAAGCUAGGGGAGCAAACGGGAUUAGAUACCCCGGUAGUCCUAGCCGUAAA